rnacentral:rRNA from 1 species
GAUGAACGCUGGCGGCGUGCCUAAUACAUGCAAGUCGAGCGAACAGACGAGGAGCUUGCUCCUCUGACGUUAGCGGCGGACGGGUGAGUAACACGUGGAUAACCUACCUAUAAGACUGGGAUAACUUCGGGAAACCGGAGCUAAUACCGGAUAAUAUAUUGAACCGCAUGGUUCAAUAGUGAAAGACGGUUUUGCUGUCACUUAUAGAUGGAUCCGCGCCGCAUUAGCUAGUUGGUAAGGUAACGGCUUACCAAGGCAACGAUGCGUAGCCGACCUGAGAGGGUGAUCGGCCACACUGGAACUGAGACACGGUCCAGACUCCUACGGGAGGCAGCAGUAGGGAAUCUGCCGCAAUGGGCGAAAGCCUGACGGAGCAACGCCGCGUGAGCGAUGAAGGUCUUCGGAUCGUAAAACUCUGUUAUUAGGGAAGAACAAAUGUGUAAGUAACUAUGCACGUCUUGACGGUACCUAAUCAGAAAGCCACGGCUAACUACGUG